AGUCUGCAACUCGACUACAUGAAGCUGGAAUCGCUAGUAAUCGCAGAUCAGAAUGCUGCGGUGAAUACGUUCCCGGGUCUUGUACACACCGCCCGUCACACCAUGGGAGUCGGGAAUGCCCGAAGUCAGUGACCCAACCGCAAGGAGGGAGCUGCCGAAGGCAGGCUCGAUAACUGGGGUGAAGUCGUAACAAGGUAGC
rnacentral:rRNA from 1 species